CCGGUUUCCGGUCGCCUUCGAAAGCCCCCUCUUCAAGGAUAAAACAGUACGACCUACUUGAUCGUCAUAUCUGAUUCCGAUCAAACCUCGGAAGGUGAUGUGCAGAGUGUCUGGAUCCUCUGUGAUUCCAACUGCUAAGUCCACUCUCAUGGCAAUUGUAAUUGUCGAGUACUUUCUCUACCGCCAAGGAGAACCAUAAAUUGGAGUAACUACGGACUUGACAUGGAGAUACUUCUCCAAAGCAUGCAUUCCACUGUCCCUCCCGAAUCCACUCAUCUUAUAUCCACCAAAAGGGCAAUCAUCAUCAAAUGCAAAGUAGCAGUUAAUCCAGAUGAUGCCUGCACGAAUCGAUCUUGAGACCCGGUUGGCUAUAUUGAGGUCUUUCGUCACAAUCCCAGCUGCCAGUCCAUAUCUUGUAUUGUUGGCUCUCUCAAUUGCCUCCUCGAUUGUCCUAGCAAAAUAACAAAGGUGACUUGAAGAAAGCUUUUGUAGCAGAUAAUUCUCUUUUCUGAAGGUGUUUUUUGAGUUUAUGCCAAAUGUGCUAUGAUCAGGAAAGCCAUAUUAGAAACAACCUUUACAGGUAAAAAUACAGAAGUGAUUUCAUAUACUAUACCUGUUUAGCCAAGUGGGCAUAGUAGAGAGCUGUGAGUGGGGUCUGUUCAGCUGGCUUGACGAUCAUUGUGCAGCCAGCUGCCAAGGCUGGGGCGACCUUGAAGAAGAACAUGAUCGUCGGAAAGUUCCAUGGGAUUAUGUGACCGACUACUCCGAUGGGCUCCCGCAGUGUAUACCCCUGAAACUCUCCUGACAUCUUCAAUGUCUCACCAUGGAUCUUGUCAGCUGCCCCUGCAUAGUAUCGGACCAUGUUCGAGGCUCCCGGCACAUCAAGAAUCUUAUUAAGUAAGAAUAGUUUUCCUGCAUCUAAGCACUCCAGUGCAGCCAGUUCUUCAGCAUGCUGAUCAAUCAGGAUGCUCAACAUCAGCAUGGUGGUUGCUUUAAAUAAUUAAAAGGGAAAGACAACCUACAAAGCCAGACAUGCGAGGCCAUUUGCCAUGGUCAAAAGCUUCUCUGGCUGCGUUCACUGCCAAGUCAACAUCCUCCUUGUCACCGGCAGCUAUGUCGGCAAUCACUCCUCCAGUACGUGGGUCUCGUGUCUCAAAAGUUUUUCCUGUAUCAAGUAUAAUUGAAGUCAGAUAUGAUUUGGGAAAGUCCCAAAUGUGUUUCUUGUAUCAGCAACGAUGUAAAAGAUUCAUAUAUGGUUGAUCAUAUAUAUAUAUAUAUAUAUAUAGGAUGUGACAAAAUCUUUAUCAA